rnacentral:misc_RNA from 1 species
UCUCCGUUGGUGAACCAGCGGAGGGAUCAUUACCGAGUUUACAACUCCCAGACCCAAUGUGAACGUUACCAAACUGUUGCCUCGGCGGGAUCUCUGCCCCGGGUGCGUCGCAGCCCCGGACCAAGGCGCCCGCCGGAGGACCAACCAAAACUCUUUAUGUAUACCCCCUCGCGGGUUUUUUUACAAUCUGAGCCAUCUCGGCGCCCCUCGUGGGCGUUUCGAAAAUGAAUCAAAACUUUCAACAACGGAUCUCUUGGUUCUG